rnacentral:rRNA from 1 species
UCCCAUGAAGCAGUGUGAAAAACUCCGGUGGUAUACCAUGGAUCCGCGUCUGAUUAGCUGGUUGGCAGGGUAACGGCCUACCAAAGCGACGAUCACUACCCGGCCUGAGAGGGUGGACGGCCACGUUGGGACUGACACACCGUCCAAACUCCUACUGGAGGCAGCAGUGGGGGAUAUUGCACAAUGGGGGAAACCCUGAUGCACCGACGCCGCGUGAGUGAAGGAGCGUUUCCGCGCGUAAAGCUCUAUCAGCAUGGAAGACAAACUGCCCCGGAAGGGGCAGCUCUGGACGGUACCUGACCAAGAAGCCCCGGCUAACUACGUGCCAGCAGCCGCGGUAAUACGUAGGGGGCAAGCGUUAUCCGGAUUUACUGGGUGUUAAGGGAGCGUAGACGGCAAGACAAGCCUGGAGUGAAAGGCGGGGGCCCAACCCCCGGACUGCUCUGGGAACUGUCUGGCUGGAGUGCAAGAGGGGUAAGUGGAAUUCCUAGUGUAGCGGUGAAAUGCGUAGAUAUUAGGAGGAACACCAGUGGCGAAGGCGGCUUACUGGAUUGUAACUGACGUUGAGGCUCGAAAGCGUGGGGAGCAAACAGGAUUAGAUACCCUGGUAGUCCACGCCGUAAACGAUGACCAUUAGGUGUCGGGGGCUUAAGGGCGCCCGGUGCCGCAGCAAACGCAAUAAGUGGUCCACCUGGGGAGUACGUUCGCAAGAAUGAAACUCAAAGGAAUUGAUGGGGACCCGCACAAGCGGUGGAGCAUGUGGUUUAAUUGGAAGCAACGCGAAGAACCUUACCUGGCCUUGACAUCCCUUUGGAUGCGCGGUAACGCGCGCAGCCCUUCGGGGCGGAGGAGACAGGUGGUGCAUGGUUGUCGUCAGCUCGUGUCGUGAGAUGUUGGGUUAAGUCCCGCAACGAGCGCAACCCUUACCCUUAGUAGCCAGCAGGAGAGCUGGGCACUCUAGGGGGACUGCCGGGGAUAACCCGGAGGAAGGCGGGGAUGACGUCAAAUCAUCAUGCCCCCUAUGGCCAGGGCUACACACGUGUUACAAUGGCGUAAACAAAGGGAGGCGAACCGGUGACGGCAAGCAAACCCCAGAAAUAACGUCCCAGUUCGCGAGUUGUAGUCUGCAAC